GACGAACGCUGGCGGCGUGCUUAACACAUGCAAGUCGAACGGAAAGGCCCUGCUUUUGUGGGGUGCUCGAGUGGCGAACGGGUGAGUAACACGUGAGUAACCUGCCCUUGACUUUGGGAUAACUUCAGGAAACUGGGGCUAAUAUCGGAUAGGAGCUCCUGCUGCAUGGUGGGGGUUGGAAAGUUUCGGCGGUUGGGGAUGGACUCGCGGCUUAUCAGCUUGUUGGUGGGGUAGUGGCUUACCAAGGCUUUGACGGGUAGCCGGCCUGAGAGGGUGACCGGCCACAUUGGGACUGAGAUACGGCCCAGACUCCUACGGGAGGCAGCAGGGGGGAAUAUUGCACAGUGAGCGGAAGCCUGAUGCAGCAACGCCGCGUGCGGGAUGACGGCCUUCGGGUUGUAAACCGCUUUCGCCUGUGACGAAGCGUGAGUGACGGUAAUGGGUAAAGAAGCACCGGCUAACUACGUG
rnacentral:rRNA from 1 species